CGGAGGAUCCAAGCGUUGUCCGGAUUUAUUGGGUUUAAAGGGUGCGUAGGCGGAUCUUUAAGUCAGUGGUGAAAUCCUGCAGCUUAACUGUAGAACAGCCAUUGAAACUGAGGAUCUUGAAUUUGGUUAAAGUAGGCGGAAUGUAUCAUGUAGCGGUGAAAUGCUUAGAUAUGAUACAGAACACCGAUAGCGAAGGCAGCUUGCUGAACCAAUAUUGACGCUGAGGCACGAAAGCGUGGGGAGCGAACAGGAUUAGAUACCCUGGUAGUCCACGCCCUAAACGUUGAUUACUCGUUGUUGGCGAUAUACUGUCAGCGACCAAGCUAAAGCGUUAAGUAAUCCACCUGGGAAGUACGACCGCAAGGUUG
rnacentral:rRNA from 1 species